rnacentral:lncRNA from 1 species
AAUAGAAAACUAAUAUUAAGUACAAGUUCUCUUUACUUGAGGAGUAUAUGUGGAGAAAUAAAAGAAAAUAAGGAUCACUUUCCAAAGUUGACCCAAAAGAGCUAGGAAUAAUUUUUUCAAAAGACAUGCAAAAGUCAUUGUUCCAAAGUGGAUCACAUACCCUUUCCAAAACUAGCUCUAGUAAAGAGAAAAUUACUCUUAGAAUCAUCUCUGGAACUGAGUAGGUAGAAUUCACUUCACCU